UACGUGCCAGCAGCCGCGNUAAUACGUAGGGCGCGAGCGUUNUCCGGAAUUAUUGGGCGUAAAGAGNUCGUAGGCGGCUGGUCGCGUCUGUCGUGAANUCCCCUGGCUUAACUGGGGGCUUGCGGUGGGUACGGGCCGGCUUGAGUGCGGUAGGGGAGGCUGGAACUCCUGGUGUAGCGGUGGAAUGCGCAGAUAUCAGGAAGAACACCGGUGGCGAAGGCGGGUCUCUGGGCCGUUACUGACGCUGAGGAGCGAAAGCGUGGGGAGCGAACAGGAUUAGAUACCCUGGUAGUCCACGCCGUAAACGUUGGGCACUAGGUGUGGGGGGCCUUUUCCGGGUUUUCCGCGCCGUAGCUAACGCAUUAAGUGCCCCGCCUGGGGAGUACGGCCGCAAGGCUAAAACUCAAAGGAAUUGACGGGGGCCCGCACAAGCGGCGGAGCAUGCGGAUUAAUUCGAUGCAACGCGAAGAACCUUACCAAGGCUUGACAUGUGCCGGUCGGCUCCGGAGACGGGGUUUCCUCCUUGUGGGGCCGGUUCACAGGUGGUGCAUGGUUGUCGUCAGCUCGUGUCGUGAGAUGUUGGGUUAAGUCCCGCAACGAGCGCAACCCUUGUCUCGUGUUGCCAGCACGUUGUGGUGGGGACUCGCGGGAGACUGCCGGGGUCAACUCGGAGGAAGGUGGGGAUGACGUCAAAUCAUCAUGCCCCUUAUGUCUUGGGCUUCACGCAUGCUACAAUGGCCGGUACAGAGGGCUGCGAUACCGUGAGGUGGAGCGAAUCCCUUAAAGCCGGUCUCAGUUCGGAUCGGUGUCUGCAACUCGACACCGUGAAGUUGGAGUCGCUAGUAAUCGCAGAUCAGCAACGCUGCGGUGAAUACGUUCUCGGGCCUUGUACACACCGCCCGUCACGUCAUGAAAGUCGGCAACACCCGAAGCCCGUGGCCUUAC
rnacentral:rRNA from 1 species